GGCAGAUGCAUCAGCAGUGAUAUUUUCAAAGCAAAACAAUCUGCAUUGCUAGAUAACACAGAAGUGGGAAAAAAAUUUACAGGCUGGG